rnacentral:misc_RNA from 1 species
GAUGAAGAACGCAGCGAAAUGCGAUAAGUAAUGUGAAUUGCAGAAUUCAGUGAAUCAUCGAAUCUUUGAACGCACAUUGCGCCCACUGGUAUUCCGGUGGGCAUGCCUGUUCGAGCGUCAUUAUCCUCCCUCAAACCCCGGGUUUGGUGUUGGACCCAAGUUGUGUGAACAACUGGUCUCAAAGACAAUGACGGCGUCCGUGGGACCCUCGGUGCAACGAGCUUUUAGGAGCACGCAUCGAGUUGCAAGGACCUUCCGGGCCGGUCUCCUUUACCAUUUUACAAGGUUGACCUCGGAUCAGGUAGGAAUACCCGCUGAACUUAAGCAUAUCAAUAAGCGGAGGA